GACGAACGCUGGCGGCGUGCCUAAUACAUGCAAGUAGGACGCAGUUGCGAACGGGUGAGUAACGCGUAGGUAACUGCCUAUUAGAGGGGGAUAACUAUUGGAAACGAUAGCUAAUACCGCAUACUAGUAGAUGUACCUGCGUUGUAUUUGCUAGUAGGUAGGGUAAUGGCCUACCUAGGCCACGAUACAUAGCCGACCUGGGAGGGGGAGCGGCCCAACUGGGACUGGAACACGGCCCAGACACCUACGGGAGGCAGCAGGAGGGAAACUUCGGAAAUGGGGGGAAGCCUGACCGAGCAACGCCGGGUGAGUGAAGAAGGUUUUCGGAUCGUAAAGCUCUGUUGUUAAGGAAGCGAUACUUAACCAGAAAGGGACGGCUAACUACGUGCCAGCAGCCGCGGUAAUUC
rnacentral:rRNA from 1 species